rnacentral:snoRNA from 1 species
CCUGUCCCUAAAGACAUUGCAGAUGUAGCUGCUGUGUCACAUGUGCAUCUGUAGGUGGCAGAGAGGAGGAAGGCUAUGUCUACUCUCAGUGUUCUGACCGACAAACAUCUGAAUGAUUAGCAGUCUGAUACU